rnacentral:rRNA from 1 species
GACGAACGCUGGCGGCGUGCUUAACACAUGCAAGUCGAGCGAUGAAGUUUCUUCGGAAAUGGAUUAGCGGCGAACGGGUGAGGAACACGUGAAGAAUCUGCCCUCCACUUUGGGAUAACACAGGGAAACCUGUGCCAAUACCGAAGAUUGAAACAUAAGUGGCAUCACUGAGUUUUGAAAGAAUUUCGGUGGAGGAUGACUUCGCGGCCUAUCAGCUAGUUGGUGAGGUAAUGGCUCACCAAGGCAACGACGGGUAGCCGGCCUGAGAGGGCGACCGGCCACACUGGGACUGAGACACGGCCCAGACUCCUACGGGAGGCAGCAGUGGGGAAUAUUGGGCAAUGGAGGAAACUCUGACCCAGCGACGCCGCGUGCGGGAUGAAGGCCUUCGGGUUGUAAACCGCUUUCAGUAGGGAAGAAGCGAAAGUGACGGUACCUACAAAAGAAGCACCGGCUAACUAUGUGCCAGCAGCCGCGGUAA